UGGGGAAUAUUGGACAAUGGGGGCAACCCUGAUCCAGCCAUGCCGCGUGUGUGAAGAAGGCCUUUUGGUUGUAAAGCACUUUAAGCAGUGAAGAAGACUCCAUGGUUAAUACCCAUGGACGAUGACAUUAGCUGCAGAAUAAGCACCGGCUAACUCUGUGCCAGCAGCCGCGGUAAUACAGAGGGUGCAAGCGUUAAUCGGAAUUACUGGGCGUAAAGCGAGCGUAGGUGGCUUGAUAAGUCAGAUGUGAAAGCCCCGGGCUUAACCUGGGAACGGCAUCUGAUACUGUUAGGCUAGAGUAGGUGAGAGGAAGGUAGAAUUCCAGGUGUAGCGGUGAAAUGCAUAGAGAUCUGGAGGAAUACCGAUGGCGAAGGCAGCCUUCUGGCAUCAUACUGACACUGAGGUUCGAAAGCGUGGGUAGCAAACA
rnacentral:rRNA from 1 species